AACAGGUGCUGUGACACUGGGGUCACUGGAUGGCAGAAAAGAGGCUCUGGCACAAACAAAUUGUAAACAUAAGUGAAGGACAAGGAAGAGAAUUAGGAAUUCUGUCCCUGACCACAUCUACAUUUUGGGAAAUGAUUUAUUGAGGACAUGCUGUGAUGCUGAGAUGAUUCAAGUACUAGCAGCUAACUGCAUGGAAGAAUAAUGUCAGAAGCUCUGGGUUGCAGUUGCAGUAAUUCCAGGUGAGACUGACUCCAGGAGUGGCAUCAGAGCAGGACCUGUGCAGCAACACUGACAGAAGUGAGCAAAGACAGCACCACAGACGGGAAGCAGCUGGGGGACUCCCUGGAUUCCUGCGUAGAAGCACCCAGCAGAGUGGUGUGUUAUAUCGAAGGGGCCUGGCUGAACCCUGCCUGCUCUGAGCACAGUCUCAUGGAGACUGGAGCUUGGCAGCCACUGAGCCCAGAGCGCGACUUUGGGCACAGCACAAUUUUUAGAGCACUGCACUGUGUUUCCCAGCAUCGUGUUUCUUGGCAUUGUGCAGGCUGGAACUGAAUGUAUUUGUUCUGGGUUUGUGCACCAGUGGACCUUCAGAUCAGGUUGCAGAUACAUGAUCACCGUGCAUGAGAGGCAGGAAAUAGUGGUUUAUUGUUUGAAGCAUAAAUCAGAAACCUCAUGCUCAGAAAAAGAAAAAAAAAAAAAAGGAGUUUAAGGUGGUGCAGAGUCACAUUUAAACAUGGGUGAAGCUCUGUGUCUUGGCAGAGAUGAUGUGUGUUUGAAAACAGAUUCUAAGCAAAGAGAAAUGCCAGUGGUCCCUGUGCACUGCGAUACAGGGAAAUGCACUGCCUGCUGUGGGAUUCACGUGCUGGAACUCACCUGUACCCAAAAAUUAUGAGGUAAAAAAAAGCUAUAAAUGAUAAAAAAAAAAUCUCUCCAGGCUACCCAAAACCAUGCUGCUGCGUCUCGCUGGAGGAGAGCUCAAUAGGCAUAGAGGAGUCUGCUCUGCUGGGCUGCAGACACCCCACUCCCUCCCUGGGAAGUGUGGCAAGCUGUUCCAUGGCACACCCAUCUCUGCCACAGUGCUCCACUUUGGAAAAGUAAGCAGGAAGAACCGAAGACCUGUAGAUUUCCAGAGAGUGAUUCUGGGGCUUUGCUGCAGAGACCUCAAUUGCAUCUUACUGAGUGCCCCUGCCAGUGGCUGGCAUGGAGAGGACUUAUUCCUCAGUGAACUGUGUCCUGGUCAGCCCUGCCUGACUGCCCUGCUCCCACCUCGCCCAGGAGGUGCCCAGGCUGCUCCAUGAAGAUUUUGGCAGGUAGUAAAUAUCCACAGUAAGGGCUUUGUACUCUAUGCUCCCUGUGACCUUAAGGGCUGAGCAGAUCAGGGCCUCAACCAGGACCAAGAAAGCAUCCUGCACUCAAGCUGAGACCAAGGUUCAGCAGGUCCUUCAGAGCCUCCGUGUCUCUCUGUACCUCAGACAGCAAAUAUGCUACUUACAAUGCAUAUGAAGGAUCUCUCAAUAAAAUUCUGUCUUGAGCAGCCCCAGCAUCACAUGUCCAAGCUCUCAUACUAAAGCUCAGCCUGCAGCUACAAGCACUGCACACUUCAGUAUUUACUCAAACCACUGACCAAGAGACCUGAUUCUGCAGACAAAUGUGUAAAAAUUUUCACACCUUGGAUCUGCGCCUUGGCAACCAUCUGGGGCCACCUCGGCACUGAGGAACGAGGGAACAGCUUUCAAAUGAUCACUUAGGUAUGCUUAUUUCAGUGUCUUAUAUUUUACCUUUUCUACCAGCACCACUGCUUUUUGGCUACAAUAUAUAACUCCCAUUUACUCAAACUAGGGUUGCUUGGAUAGACAUAUAUAUCUUUCUCUGUUUUGACGACCAUUUCUGCCCAUAAACACAAGAAAAAAUGGUCUGAUCCUGUCAAAUUGCACACUGUGGGAGGGAAGAAGGGGCAGGAUCUGAAUCCUCUAAAAUAUUUGUCCUGGAAACCUUACGCUGGCCCAUAGUUGCAGACGAAGUGUGCUGCGUUGGUUCCUGAGAAGUAUGACACUGUGGGACAGAAGUGGACAGCACAGCCAACCUUGUAGCUUUGAGCCCAAACGACCUGGAAAGACAGACACAAACAUUGGUGGCUGAAUAUUUGGUUAACAGCUACACUUUUAGGGAAAAGCCUUGCCCUCCUCUGUGUUACAUGUCAGAUAGGCUUUGGAAUGCUCCUUGGACAUGAUUUGCAGUGGUAAGCAGUAAUGAUGGAUAUCUAAAUAAUAGCUUGUUCUGAAGAAUAUCUGGUUGUUUUAACUAAUUCACUAGAUGUUUAUUAAUUUAUUUGAUGACCAGAGGACUGGAGCACCUCUUCUAUGAGGACAAACUGAGAGAGCUGGGUAUUUUCAGCCUAGAAAAGACUCUGGGGGACCUCAUAGUGGCCUUCCAGUACCCAAAAGAGGCCUAAAGGAAAGCUGGGAAGGGACUUC